AUUGAACGCUGGCGGCAUGCCUUACACAUGCAAGUCGAACGGUAACGCGGGGCAACCUGGCGACGAGUGGCGCACGGGUGAGUCAUGCAUCCGAACGUGCCCAGUCGUGGGGGAUCGCCCGGCGAAAGUCGGAUUAAUACCCCCUACGACCUGCGGGAGACAGGGGGGGAUCGCAAGACCUCUCGCUAUUGGCGCGGCCGAGGUCAGAUUAGCCAGUUGGUGGGGUAAAGGCCUACCAAGGCAACGAUCUGUAGGUGGUCUGAGAGGACGACCAGCCACACUGGGACUGAGACACGGACCAGACUCCUACGGGAGGCAGCAGUGGGGAAUUUUGGACAAUGGGCGCAAGCCUGAUCCAGCAAUGCCGCGUGCAGGAAGAAGGCCUUCGGGUUGUAAACUGCUUUUGUCAGGGAAGAAAUCUUCUGGGUUAAUACCUCGGGAGGAUGACGGUACCUGAAGAAUAAGCACCGGCUAACUACGUGCCAGCCGCCGCGGUAAUAC
rnacentral:rRNA from 1 species